AGCGCAGCUACACAUGCAGUCGACGCUGAAGCUCCAGCUUGCUGGGGUGGAUGAGUGGCGAACGGGUGAGUAACACGUGAGUAACCUUCCCUUGACUCUGGGAUAAGCCCGGGAAACUGGGUCUAAUACCGGAUAUGACUUCUCAUCGCAUGGUGAGGGGUGGAAAGAUUUAUCGGUCUUGGAUGGACUCGCGGCCUAUCAGCUUGUUGGUGAGGUAAUGGCUCACCAAGGCGACGACGGGUAGCCGGCCUGAGAGGGUGACCGGCCACACUGGGACUGAGACACGGCCCAGACUCCUACGGGAGGCAGCAGUGGGGAAUAUUGCACAAUGGGCGCAAGCCUGAUGCAGCGACGCCGCGUGAGGGAUGACGGCCUUCGGGUUGUAAACCUCUUUCAGUAGGGAAGAAGCGAAAGUGACGGUACCUGCAGAAGAAGCGCCGGCUAACUACGUGCCAGCAGCCGCGGUAAUACGUAGGGCGCGAGCGUUAUCCGGAAUUAUUGGGCGUAAAGAGCUUGUAGGCGGUUUUGUCGCGUCUGCCGUGAAGUCCGGGGCUUAACCCCCAGUAUCUGCGGGUGUGUACCGUCAGACUAGAGCUGCAGUAGGGGAGACCGGUAUGCUGGUGCUAGCGGUGAAAUGCGCAGAUAUCGGGAGCAACACUGAUGCAGCAGUCUCUGCCUGUACUGACGCUGAGAGCGUAGCAUGCGAGCCACGGACUGGAUGCCAUGUAGUCCAUGCGCUAACCUUGCCAUAGGUGCGCCAUCAGUAUCGCGACUAGCAUACGUUCGCUAGGAAUCGUCGAGUAAACUGAGAU
rnacentral:rRNA from 1 species